rnacentral:rRNA from 1 species
AUUGAACGCUAGCGGGAUGCUUUACACAUGCAAGUCGAGCGAGCGUCGGACGGGUGAGUAAUGUAUGGGGACUGCCCGAUAGAGGGGGGUAACUACUCUGGACACGAUCGAAUACAGCAUAUUCUCUGAGAACCCAUAUGGGAUUAGCGAGUCGGUGAGGUAAUGGCUCACCAAGGCGACGAUCCCUAGCUGGUCUGAGAGGAUGAUCAGCCACACUGGGACUGAGACACGGCCCAGACUCCUACGGAGGCAGCAGUGGGGAAUAUUGCACAAUGGGCGCAAGCCUGAUGCAGCCAUGCCGCGUGUAUGAAGAAGGCCUUAGGGUUGUAAAGUACUUUCAGUCGGGAGGCGUUACCGACAGAAGAAGCACCGGCUAACUCCGUGCCAGCAGCCGCGGUAAUAC